CCUAACCCACAGCCAAGGAAGCAAGUACUUCAGACACAAACACCCAACCAGGGAGCAAGGACAUCAGCUGAGGCAUCAGGGAUGUCUGAGCUACUUUUGGAGGCUCUGAUAAACAAGCAGAGUGUGGGCAUGCAGGUUUUUGAGAAGAGGCAAUACAGGUGAGAGAAGACCCAGAAGCAGAUGGUGGGGAUGUCCUUCCAGGAGUCAUCUUCAUUACCCUGGCAAUCUUUAAAGUAUUUGUCGAGUCAAUAAAGCAGACAGUCAAGUGA